UUUGACCUCGGAUCAGGUAGGGAUACCCGCUGAA
rnacentral:rRNA from 2 species